CAACCCGAUUUGGUCCUCAGUCCUCUCUUUGAUUAUAGUUAAGAUGAUACAUGCAAGAAACAUUCCCUACGGUGAGUAAAACUAAUUAAAAUACACUAAAAAGAUAGUAUAAUAAAAAUAAUUAUCAGGCUCGACCUUUUCAGCCUUUUACAUUUAGAAUACUCCACACCUGCAGUACUUAACCUUAUACAAUAAGCAAAAGCUUGAUAUAGCUAUAACUAAUAGGCCCGGUUAAUUAUGUGCCAGCCACCGCGGUUAUACAUAAGGCCCAAAUCAAAGAUAAACGGUAAAAAGGUGGUCAACAAAACUAGAAUAAACACAACCUUCAGCAGUAAUAAGCUUACACAGCAAAUUUAUUACAAUAAUUAAAUUAAUUCUAGAAUUAACAACCCAUUCCACGAAAACUCAAAGAUAAACUGGGAUUAGAUACCCCACUAUAUGAGUAGUUAAAUUAAUAAACACCCGAGAACUACGAACUAACGUUUAAAACUCAAAGGACUUGGCGGUUUUUUAGAUCUCCCUGGAGGAGCUUGCUACGUAACCGAUAACCCACGAUAAACCUUACCAAGCUUUGCAAAAUAAUUCAACCUGUAUACCAUCGUCGUCAGUCUACUUCCUAAGAAAGUAUACUAAAAGAACCUGCUUCCCUACGUCAGAUCGAGGUGCAGUUAAUAGUUUGGAUAAUAGUGAGCUACAAUAACAAUACAAAAUAAACUUCCAUAUGAACGGCUAAUUGAAAUAAAGCCUGAAACAGGAUUCAGCAGUAAUACUUACCAGAAAAUAAGUAUGAAGCCUCAGCUCUAAAAAGCGCACACAUCGCCCGUCACUCUCGUCCUCAGAGGAGAAAAGUCGUAACAUAGUAGGCGUAUUGGAAAAUGUGCCUGGAAUUAUUCCUAUAGUUAAAUAAUAACAAUAGCUUUUCAUGCUAUAAGUUUGGGUAAACAACCCCAAUAGGAAUUUGC
rnacentral:ncRNA from 1 species